rnacentral:lncRNA from 1 species
CUCACAGCCUCCUGGCAGAGCUCACGUUCCCCGCAUCUCUCGCUUGCUGACACCGCAGCGUCCUGGCUUGUGUACGGGCUCUCCAAGAGGAAAUGCCCGUUUCACCCUCAUGCUGAGGACAUAUGGAAAGACCGGGCCAUCCAAUAAUACUGCUAACGUAAGGCAACUCCAGCUGUAACAUGUGUUGAAUUUCCCGGGCACCUCACUAAAAGGUGGAUGACAAAGCCUGGGAUUCCUUGCUGGAAAUAAUGUGCAUUUAUUGGCAUGGAAAUCACCACCCAGGCAAGUGAGGAAAGUCUCAGAAAGGACGUUUGUUAUGCAAACGUGACCCUUGUUGGCAGGUUCCUGGCAGAGUGUAACACGAUGGCGACCGCGGGGAGUGGUUCCUUGCACAUACGAAGUAAUAUGUUUGCAAACGAAAAGCGUGAUCACCUCUACUGUGCGGACAAGGCCUCCAGGAACCUGAUUUCCUCUCCCUGUCUUGGGGAUUUACAUCUCAGCAGCCUCGACCAGACAUGCUUGCUGGAUGGCACCCUCCUCCAAGAUCGCAGCGGAUAAGGAGUCCUUUCGAGGGCUCUUUGUGCUUUCAAAGGUCCGCUGGCUGUUAUCAUGCAAAUAGUGUACUGUUAGAAAUUUUGCCCCUUUGAAAAAUAAAGAAAUAAAAAGUGACACAGU